rnacentral:sRNA from 1 species
UUGCUGCCAACCUAUCUAUUGCUGCAAGCUAUCCCUUGCUGCUAAGCUAUCCCUCGCUGCUAAGCUAUCCCUCGCUGCUAAGCUAUCCCUCGCUGCUAAGCUAUCCCUCGCUGCUAAGCUAUCCCUCGCUGCUAAGCUAUCGCCGCUGCCAACCUAUCUAUUGCUGCAAGCUAUCCCUCGCUGCUAAGCUAUCGCUGCCAACCUAUCUAUCGCUGCCAAUUUAUCUACCACUGCCAAUCUAUCUAUUGCUGCUAAUCUAUUGCUGCUGCCAAUCUAUCUAUCGCUGCUAAUCUAUUGCUGCUGCUAAUCUAUCUAUCGCUGCUAAUCUAUCCUUCACUGCUAAGCUAUCUCUCACUGCUAAGCUAUCUCUCACUGCUAAGCUAUCCCUUGCUGCUAAGCUAUCCCUCACUACUAAGCUAUCUAUCACUGCUAAUCUAUCACUGCCAACCUAUCUAUCACUGCCAAUCUAUCUAUCGCUGCUAAUCUAUCGCUGCUAAUCUAUCACUGCUAAUCUAUUGCUGCCAACCUAUCUAUCGCUGCCAAUUUAUCUACCACUGCCAAUCUAUCUAUUGCUGCUAAUCUAUUGCUGCUGCCAAUCUAUCUAUUGCUGCUAAUCUAUUGCUGCUGCUAAUCUAUCUAUCGCUGCUAAUCUAUCGCUGCUAAUCUAUUGCUGCUAAUCUAUCGCUGCUAAUCUAUCGCUGCUAAUCUAUCGCUGCUAAUCUAUCGCUGCCAACCUAUCUACCGCGGCGAAUCUAUCUAUCACUAUCAUUACUAGUUCAAAA